GAUGAACGCUGGCGGCGUGCCUAACACAUGCAAGUCGAGCGGUAUAUGGUGGAAUGAAACUUCGGUCGAGUGAAGCCAUAGAGAGCGGCGGACGGGUGAGUAACGCGUAGGCAACCUGCCUAUAACUGGGGGAUAACACAGGGAAACUUGUGCUAAUACCGCAUAACACAGCGAAGAAGCAUUUCUUUGUUGUCAAAGGAGCAAUCCGGUGAUAGAUGGGCCCGCGUCCAAUUAGCUAGUUGGUGAUGUAACGGACCACCAAGGCGACGAUUGGUAGCCGAACUGAGAGGUUGAUCGGCCACAUUGGGACUGAGACACGGCCCAGACUCCUACGGGAGGCAGCAGUGGGGAAUAUUGCACAAUGGGGGAAACCCUGAUGCAGCAACGCCGCGUGAAGGAUGAAGGUUUUCGGAUUGUAAACUUCUUUAGUCGGGGACGAAUAAAUGACGGUACCCGAAGAAUAAGCCACGGCUAACUACGUGCCAGCAGCCGCGGUAAUU
rnacentral:rRNA from 1 species